UACGUAGGGGGGCUAGCGUUGUCCGGAAUCAUUGGGCGUAAAGCGCGUGUAGGCGGUCCGGUAAGUCCGCUGUGAAAGUCGGGGGCUCAACCCUCGAAAGCCGGUGGAUACUGUCGGGCUAGAGUGCGGAAGAGGCGAGUGGAAUUCCUGGUGUAGCGGUGAAAUGCGCAGAUAUCAGGAGGAACACCAAUUGCGAAGGCAGCUCGCUGGGACGUUACUGACGCUGAGACGCGAAAGCGUGGGGAGCAAACAGG
rnacentral:rRNA from 1 species